rfam:Bacillus phage SPG24 DNA, contig00001 sequence.
CCCUUCAGAAGAUGGAACAGGUAGCCAUCACCUUUAUGUGGAGAUGUGGGAGUACCGACCCACCUGAAGAA